GAUGAACGCUGGCGGCGUGCUUAAUACAUGCAAGUCGAGCGGAAAGGUCUCUUCGGAGAUACUCGAGCGGCGGACGGGUGAGUAACGCGUAAGAAUGUACCCCAAAGUGAGGAAUAAGCACCAGAAAUGGUGUCUAAUGCCGCAUGUGCUCUUCGGAGUAAAGCUUUAUGCGCUUUGGGAACAGCUUGCGUCUGAUUAGCUAGUUGGUAAGGUAACGGCUUACCAAGGCGACGAUCAGUAGCUGGUCUGAGAGGAUGACCAGCCACACUGGGACUGAGACACGGCCCAGACUCCUACGGGAGGCAGCAGUAGGGAAUUUUCCACAAUGGGCGAGAGCUUGAUGGAGCAACGCCGCGUGAUGGAUGAAGGCCUUCGGGUUGUAAACACCUUUUGUCUGUGACGAAUAUGACGGUAGCAGACGAAUAAGGAUCGGCUAACUACGUGCCAGCCGCCGCGGUAA
rnacentral:rRNA from 1 species